rnacentral:rRNA from 1 species
UCCUUAUAACCCUUUGUGAACAUACCCCAAACGUUGCCUCGGCGGGCAGCCGGAGCCCAGCUCCGUCGCCCGGAGCCGCCGUCUCGGCGCGCCCCACCCGCCGGCGGACCACCAAAUUCUAUUUAAACGACGUCUCUUCUGAGUGGCACAAGCAAAUAAUCAAAACUUUUAACAACGGAUCUCUUGGUUCUGGCAUCGAUGAAGAACGCAGCGAAAUGCGAUAAGUAAUGUGAAUUGCAGAAUUCAAUGAAUCAUCGAAUCUUUGAACGCACAUUGCGCCCGCCAGCAUUCUGGCGGGCAUGCCUGUUCGAGCGUCAUUUCAACCCUCAAGCACCGCUUGGCGUUGGGGCCCUACGGCUUCCGUAGGCCCCGAAAUACAGUGGCGGACCCUCCCGGAGCCUCCUUUGCGUAAUAACAUACCACCUCGCACUGGGAUCCGGAGGGACUCCUGCCGGAAAACCCCCCAAUUUUCCAAAGGUUGACCUCGGAUCAGGUAGGAAUACCCGCUGAACUUAAGCAUAUCAAUAAGCGGAGGAA